GUUUGGAGUGAUGGCAUCUGAUUUCCCAAGUUACCAUCAUGCGUGCUGGAGCCCUGCUCUUGUGGGGAUGGCUGAACAUUUGCCUGCCCAUGGGAAAGAUCCUGCUGAUUGGGGAGUGAACAAGUGACUGCGUGGGGCUCAGUGCUGGCUGGGAUUAAACCACAACAUCCCGAUACUGCCCUGCUCUUAGAAACUUAUUUGUUGUACAAUGUACAUCAGAAAAUAGUAGUGCCUAGUAGAUGUACAUCAGAAAUAUUAUGGACACGCUUUAGAACUGAGCUGAAGAAAUUUUUUGAUCAAGAUUUGCACUAGAUACUCUUCACAGCCAUCAUGGAGUUCUGGCAUGGAGGAAAAAGAAUGGAGAUUUUCUCUUUCGAGCUGCAAGUAGAACAUAAGUUUUAUUUUAUAGAGUGAAUGCAACCCAGUCAAGCAGAUGUUCUUUCAUGACUAGAGCCUUGGGUGGAUUCUUAAAAUAGUACUCAUUAUAGUUAUUCCAUCAAAAAUAAUUUAG